GGGCUUGUGCAGAACAGUGUGGUUCCUCCUCAGGGUUCUGUGAGUUGGGAGGAGGCUCCGUCCUGACUGGUGGGGGAACAUCUGGCUGGCAGGCCCACUGGAUUUGGAUGAAAACAUUUCUUCAGAACAAAAAGAUGAGUGUUUUUUCUUUACCAACAACUCCUUCAUGUCCUGAAACUGAAGGCCAGUCUAUACGGAGUCAGUAAAGCAAAUCCUGGAGUACAGCGGACCACAAAACCACAACAAAUGUGGAUAUGUAGUCCAGUAGUGGUUCUGUCACAGAGGAGAUGCUGAUCGUGCAAAGAAGUCGUGGUGGCAGAGAGGCUUUGCAGACGAGAAGAAAAUAUGCUGUGGUGUUAGGAACUAAUCCAGAGGACCAGAAAGCAUCCGGAUACGAAUGGACCACCUCAUACUGGACCUUCUGCAGCUUCAACAACCUCAGAACAACACAGGAAAAUGUGACAACUUUUACAGAGUUCUGAUGCAUCACAUGAUCUGCUGCUCUGACCUUCACUGUCCUCUGAGGACACCACAGUUCUUCAAUGAAGCAGAUGAAGCUCUGAUCCAUGGAUGAAGACACAGCAGCUGAUGAACAGACACGUCACAGGACAGUUUUUAUCUGUCAAUAAAUAAAAACCUUUAUUUAUCUAG